rnacentral:rRNA from 1 species
AUUGAACGCUGGCGGCAGGCUUAACACAUGCAAGUCGGACGGUAACAGGGAGGAAGCUUGCUUUCUUUGCUGACGAGUGGCGGACGGGUGAGUAAUGCUUGGGAAUCUGUUUUAUGGAGGGGGAUAACUACGGGAAACUGUAGCUAAUACCGCGUAAUAUCGAGAGAUUAAAGUGUGGGACCGUAAGGCCACAUGCCAUAGAGUGAGCCCAAGUGGGAUUAGGUAGUUGGUGGGGUAAAGGCCUACCAAGCCGUCGAUCUCUAGCUGGUCUGAGAGGAUGACCAGCCACACUGGGACUGAGACACGGCCCAGACUCCUACGGGAGGCAGCAGUGGGGAAUAUUGCACAAUGGGCGCAAGCCUGAUGCAGCCAUGCCGCGUGAAUGAAGAAGGCCUUCGGGUUGUAAAGUUCUUUCGGUGGUGAGGGAGGUUGUAAUGUUAAUAGCAUUAUAAUUUGACGUUAGCCACAGAAGAAGCACCGGCUAACUCCGUGCCAGCAGCCGCGGUAAUACGGAGGGUGCGAGCGUUAAUCGGAAUAACUGGGCGUAAAGGGCACGCAGGCGGAUACUUAAGUGAGGUGUGAAAGCCCUGGGCUUAACCUAGGAAUUGCAUUUCAUACUGGGUAUCUAGAGUAUUUUAGGGAGGGGUAGAAUUCCACGUGUAGUGGUGAAAUGCGUAGAGAUGUGGAGGAAUACCGAAGGCGAAGGCAGCCCCUUGGGGGAAUACUGACGCUCAUGUGCGAAAGCGUGGGGAGCAAACAGG